UCCCAAACCCCUGUGAACAUACCUUCUGUUGCCUCGGCAGGCCCUGGCCUACCCUGUAGCACCCCUACGUUGUAAGGAUUGCUUUAGGGGGAGCGUUAGGGGCACCCUGCCGGCGGCUCGCAAAACUCUGUUUAGCAUUGAAUUCUGAACAUAUAACUAAAUAAGUUAAAACUUUCAACAACGGAUCUCUUGGUUCUGGCAUCGAUGAAGAACGCAGCGAAAUGCGAUAAGUAAUGUGAAUUGCAGAAUUCAGUGAAUCAUCGAAUCUUUGAACGCACAUUGCGCCCACUAGUAUUCUAGUGGGCAUGCCUGUUCGAGCGUCAUUUCAACCCUUAAGCCCCUGUUGCUUAGCGUUGGGAGCCUACGGUAGCGUAGCUCCCCAAAGUUAGUGGCGUGGUCGGUUCACACUCCAGACGUAGUACAUUUUCACCUCGCCUGUAGCUGGACCGGUCCCCUGCCGUAAAACACCCCAAUUUCUAAAGGUUGACCUCGGAUCAGGUAGGAAUACCCGC
rnacentral:rRNA from 1 species